rnacentral:rRNA from 1 species
GUGAACGCUGGCGGUAGGCCUAACACAUGCAGGUCGAACGGCAGCACAGUAAGAGCUUGCUCUUACGGGUGGCGAGUGGCGGACGGGUGAGGAAUACAUCGGAAUCUACUUUUUCGUGGGGGAUAACGUAGGGAAACUUUCGCUAAUACCGCAUACGACCUACGGGUGAAAGCAGGGGAUCUUCGGACCUUGCGCGAUUGAAUGAGCCGAUGUCGGAUUAGCUAGUUGGCGGGGUAAAGGCCCACCAAGGCGACGAUCCGUAGCUGGUCUGAGAGGAUGAUCAGCCACACUGGAACUGAGACACGGUCCAGACUCCUACGGGAGGCAGCAGUGGGGAAUAUUGGACAAUGGGCGCAAGCCUGAUCCAGCCAUACCGCGUGGGUGAAGAAGGCCUUCGGGUUGUAAAGCCCUUUUGUUGGGAAAGAAAAGCAGCAGGUUAAUACCCCGCUGCUCUGACGGUACCCAAAGAAUAAGCACCGGCUAACUUCGUG